UACGGAGGGGGCUAGCGUUGUUCGGAAUUACUGGGCGUAAAGCGUACGUAGGCGGCUUUGUAAGUUAGAGGUGAAAGCCCGGGGCUCAACUCCGGAAUUGCCUUUAAGACUGCAUCGCUUGAAUCAUGGAGAGGUGAGUGGAAUUCCGAGUGUAGAGGUGAAAUUCGUAGAUAUUCGGAGGAACACCAGUGGCGAAGGCGGCUCACUGGUCCGGUACUGACGCUCAUGCACGAAAGCGUGGGGAGCAAACAGG
rnacentral:rRNA from 1 species